UACGGGGGGUGCAAGCGUUAUUCGGAAUUAUUGGGCGUAAAGAGCACGUAGGCGGUCUCUUAAGUCAGAUGUGAAAGCCCUGGGCUUAACCCCGGAAGUGCAUUUGAAACUAAGGGACUUGAGUAUGGGAGAGGGAAGUGGAAUUCCUGGUGUAGAGGUGAAAUUCGUAGAUAUCAGGAGGAACACCGGUGGCGAAGGCGACUUCCUGGACCAAUACUGACGUUGAGGUGCGAAGGCGUGGGGAG
rnacentral:rRNA from 1 species